AUGGAGUUUAUUCUCAGCUGGGUUUUCCUUGUUGCUGUUUUAAAAGGAGUCCAUUGUGAUGUGCAGCUGGUGGAGUCUGGGGGAGGGUUGGUACAGCCUGGGGGAUACCUAAAACUUUCCUGUAAGGCCUCUGGAUUCACAUACAGUGAUCAUCGCAUGGGUUGGGUCUGCCAGGCUCCACAGAAGGGGCUUGAGUGGGUCUCAUCCAUCAGGUAUGAUGGUAAAAAAACAUACUAUGCAGACUCCAUGAAGGGUCGAUUCACCAUCUCCAGAGACAAUGCCAAGAACUUGCUGAAUCUGCUAAUUCACAGUCUGAAAACUGAGGACACAGUCAUAUAUUGCUGUACUCAAAAUUCAAAUUUCUACUCAGAGAGAAGGUAA